GACGAACGCUGGCGGCGUGCUUAACCCAUGCAAGUCGCGCGAGCGGCGGACGGGUGAGUAAUGUCUGGGCAACUGCCUGCUGGAGGGGGAUAACUACUGGAAACGGUAGCUAAUACCGCAUACCAUCAGAUGUGCCCAGAUGGGAUUAGCUAGUAGGUGGGUUAACGGCUCACCUCGGCGACGAUCCCUAGCUGGUCUGAGAGGAUGACCAGCCACACUGGAACGGAGACACGGGCCAGACUCCUACGGGAGGCAGCAGUGGGGAAUAUUGCACAAUGGGCGCAAGCCUGAUGCAGCCAUACCGCGUGUGUGAAGAAGGCCUUCGGGUUGUAAAGCACUUUCAGCGGGGAGGCGUUACCCGCAGAAGAAGCACCGGCUAACUCCGUGCCAGCAGCCGCGGUAAUUC
rnacentral:rRNA from 1 species